rnacentral:rRNA from 1 species
UACGAAGGGUACAAGCGUUGUUCGGAAUUACUGGGCGUAAAGGGCGCGUAGGCGGCCUUCUAAGUCGAACGUGAAAUCCCCGGGCUCAACCCGGGAACUGCGUCCGAUACUGGAAGGCUUGAAUCCGGGAGAGGGAUGUGGAAUUCCAGGUGUAGCGGUGAAAUGCGUAGAUAUCUGGAGGAACACCGGUGGCGAAGGCGACAUCCUGGACCGGUAUUGACGCUGAGGCGCGAAAGCCAGGGGAGCAAACGGG